rnacentral:rRNA from 1 species
GACGAACGCUGGCGGCGUGCUUAACACAUGCGAGUCGAACGGAAAGGCCCUGCUUUUGUGGGGUGCUCGAUUGGCGAACGGGUGAGUAACACGUGAGUAACCUGCCCUUGACUUUGGGAUAACUUCAGGAAACUGGGGCUAAUACCGGAUAGGAGCUCCUGCUGCAUGGUGGGGGUUGGAAAGUUUCGGCGGUUGGGGAUGGACUCGCGGCUUAUCAGCUUGUUGGUGGGGUAGUGGCUUACCAAGGCUUUGACGGGUAGCCGGCCUGAGAGGGUGACCGGCCACAUUGGGACUGAGAUACGGCCCAGACUCCUACGGGAGGCAGCAGUGGGGAAUAUUGCACAAUGGGCGGAAGCCUGAUGCAGCAACGCCGCGUGCGGGAUGACGGCCUUCGGGUUGUAAACCGCUUUCGCCUGUGACGAAGCGUGAGUGACGGUAAUGGGUAAAGAAGCACCGGCUAACUACGUG